rfam:B.stearothermophilus ribonuclease P RNA gene.
GUUAAUCAUGCUCGGGUAAUCGCUGCGGCCGGUUUCGGCCGUAGAGGAAAGUCCAUGCUCGCACGGUGCUGAGAUGCCCGUAGUGUUCGUGCCUAGCGAAUCCAUAAGCUAGGGCAGCCUGGCUUCGGCUGGGCUGACGGCGGGGAAAGAACCUACGUCCGGCUGGGAUAUGGUUCGAUUACCCUGAAAGUGCCACAGUGACGGAGCUCUAAGGGAAACCUUAGAGGUGGAACGCGGUAAACCCCACGAGCGAGAAACCCAAAUGAUGGUAGGGGCACCUUCCCGAAGGAAAUGAACGGAGGGAAGGACAGGCGGCGCAUGCAGCCUGUAGAUAGAUGAUUACCGCCGGAGUACGAGGCGCAAAGCCGCUUGCAGUACGAAGGUACAGAACAUGGCUUAUAGAGCAUGAUUAACGUG